CUAGCCCUAAUCUAACUUGCAUUUUUUUUGAAUUUUUUUUUAAUGCAAAAACAAAAGUUAAUUCAAAUAACCCGAUAUCCAAUCCAAUCAAGAUAAGAUUAAUACCCAAAAUUGACGAACCAUAUCUCGCGCAUGAGAUCGGGUUAGUCAAUUUAAAAUUAAAUCGCGAAUCAAAUCUCGGGCAUGAGAUUGAAUUGUCGAUUUUGCAAAAGAUUAUGAGUCGGAUUUCGGGCGCGAAAAUCGGACUCAUAAUCCCUAAUUUGAUGGGUUAUUUCACAUUGGAACCUCAAUCAUGCAUUAAUGAAUAAUCAUACUAAAAA
rnacentral:lncRNA from 1 species